rnacentral:rRNA from 1 species
AUUGAACGCUGGCGGCAGGCUUAACACAUGCAAGUCGAGCGGAGUGGUGGUGCUUGCACUAUCACUUAGCGGCGGACGGGUGAGUAAUGCUUAGGAAUCUGCCUAUUAGUGGGGGACACCAUUUCGAAAGGAAUGCUAAUACCGCAUACGUCCUACGGGAGAAAGCAGGGGAUCUUCGGACCUUGCGCUAAUAGAUGAGCCUAGGUCGGAUUAGCUAGUUGGUGGGGUAAAGGCCUACCAAGGCGACGAUCUGUAGCGGGUCUGAGAGGAUGAUCCGCCACACUGGGACUGAGACACGGCCCAGACUCCUACGGGAGGCAGCAGUGGGGAAUAUUGGACAAUGGGCGGAAGCCUGAUCCAGCCAUGCCGCGUGUGUGAAGAAGGCCUUAUGGUUGUAAAGCACUUUAAGCGAGGAGGAGGCUACUUUAGUUAAUACCUAGAGAUAGUGGACGUUACUCGCAGAAUAAGCACCGGCUAACUCUGUGCCAGCAGCCGCCGUAACAC